rnacentral:tRNA from 1 species
UCCUGGCUAACUCAGUUGGUAGAGCACUCCACUGGGAAUGGAGAGAUCUCUGGUUUGAUACCAGGACCAGGCG